GAGCUGCCAUUGGCACAGAUCUUGGUGGUAGUAGCAAAUAAUCGAAUGAGACCUUGGAGGACUGAAGUGGAGAAGGGUUUCGUGUGAACAGUGGUUGAUCACGAGUUAGUCGGUCCUAAGUUCAAGGCGAAAGCCGAAAAUUUUCAAGUACAAAAUCAGUGAGUAAUAUUGUCAAAUCUUUUAUGAUUUUUAAAUACUUGAAUAAUUUUGAACGAAAGGGAAUACGGUUCCAAUUCCGUAACCUGUUGAGUAUCCGUUUGUUAUUAAAUAUGGGCCUCGUGCUCAUAGAUGGUAGAUGGGCUAGAAGAGCAUGACAUAUACUGUUGUGUCGAUAUGUCUCCUCGGACCUUGAAAAUUUAUGGUGGGGACACGCAAACUUCUCAACAGGCCGUACCAAUAUCCGCAGCUGGUCUCCAAGGUGAAGAGUCUCUAGUCGAUAGAAUAAUGUAGGUAAGGGAAGUCGGCAAAUUAGAUCCGUAACUUCGGGAUAAGGAUUGGCUCUGAAGAUUGAGAUAGUCGGGCUUGAUUGGGAAACGAUAACACGGUUUAUGUGCUCGUUCUGGGUAAAUAGAGUUUCUAUCAUUUAUGGUAGUUACUUGUUCCCCGGAUAGUUUAGUUACGUAGCCAAUUGUGGAACUUUCUUGCUAAAAUUUUUAAGAAUACUAAUUGGGUUAAACCAGUUAGUUCUUAUUAAUUAUAACGAUUAUCAAUUAACAAUCAAUUCAGAACUGGCACGGACUUGGGGAAUCCGACUGUCUAAUUAAAACAAAGCAUUGUGAUGGCCCUAGCGGGUGUUGACACAAUGUGAUUUCUGCCCAGUGCUCUGAAUGUCAAAGUGAAGAAAUUCAAGCAUUAGAAGAUUGAUAGCAAAGGGUCUCAUCUCAUCCGGUGACAGCAAUGUCAUCAGCGCCAGAGUGGUAACAGGCGGACUAUAUUGCUUCAGACAGUUCAUUUAUCUCGCAGGUUACACUCGAGAUUGGACUUAGCCUAUACACUAUGUUGGAGAGAAGACGCUUGCUACCUAGGCAUAAUGUGAAAUUAGGUAUAUACAUCGUGGUUGUAAAACUUGAGGUGGGUUUUUAGUACGUAUGCGUGAUUACUUCGUUAUAAUGAAUCGUGCAUGCUAGUGGGGUUUGGCCUCCACUAGUAUCUUUGAAGAUUUUCCUUCCUCAGCGAUCAAAAAAAAAGAAAAAAAGAUAAAUAGCCGGAUGCCUCGUCAUCUAAUUAGUGACGCGCAUGAAUGGAUUAACGAGAUUCCUACUGUCCCUAUCUACUCAAUUGCUUUUUGACUGCCACUCGAAGCAGACGUGUUUUUCAAGCGGUCCGCUAUACCGUCGU
rnacentral:ncRNA from 1 species